rnacentral:tRNA from 1 species
GGGCGAUUAGCUCAGUUGGGAGAGCGCCUGCCUUACAAGCAGGAUGUCGGCGGUUCAA